UACGGGGGGGGCAAGCGUUGUUCGGAAUUACUGGGCGUAAAGGGCUCGUAGGUGGCCAACUAAGUCGGACGUGAAAUCCCUCGGCUUAACCGGGGAACUGCGUCUGAUACUGGAUGGCUUGAGUUUGGGAGAGGGAUGCGGAAUUCCAGGUGUAGCGGUGAAAUGCGUAGAUAUCUGGAGGAACACCGGUGGCGAAGGCGGCAUCCUGGACCAACACUGACGCUGAGGAGCGAAAGCCAGGGGAGCAAACGGG
rnacentral:rRNA from 1 species